rnacentral:tRNA from 1 species
GGGGUUGUGGCUCAGUGGUAGAGCACUCGCCUAGCACAUGUGAGGCCCUGGGUUCAAUCCCCAGUACCA